rnacentral:sRNA from 1 species
GUGGUCGUAAAGCAGCCUAAUACUAAAUCCCCAUUGCCUUUAUUGUAUGAUCCGCGAGAUAACCUUAGCAGUUUGCAGCUUUAAGACGCGCCAGUUAAGAAAUAAAUCUGUUCGACUUGCAGCCGUGGCCUACAGAACUCCAACUCUCUAAGAGAAGAACUGACAGCACCAGUAAGAACAGCCUUGAUUCAAGAUGAGACUUUUCUUCAUUAUCGCCCUGCUCGUUGUCUUCGUCGUCGAGACGACAUCUAACGCCUAUGAAAGAAGAAGAAGAAGGUAUUUGGCUUGCAUGUUGCAGAAUCAGCUAUCCUCCACAUGUGCUGACUGGCUCAGGGGUGUAGUAGAAGAAUUAAGACCCUCACCACGUCGGUGGUGCACUCUUGUCAGGGAUUCUCAGAAUGACUUUUACGAGAAUGGUUGCUCAGCAGAUGACUACACCAUCACGAAUAAUCUCGUGUGCUCUCCAGUAUCCAGACGAGCACGUUGUGUCCCACUUUGAUGACUACUAGAAGCAAAAUUUAAAGUUUCCACCAAUCUAAAGCCAAAAAAAAAUAAAGUUUAAAACUAAAUAAUUUU